GAUGAAUUUGGUGCUUGCACCAAAUGAAACUAGAUACAAGCGAGCGGCGGACGGGUGAGUAACACGUGGGUAACCUGCCCAAGAGACUGGGAUAACACCUGGAAACAGAUGCUAAUACCGGAUAACAACACUAGACGCAUGUCUAGAGUUUAAAAGAUGGUUCUGCUAUCACUCUUGGAUGGACCUGCGGUGCAUUAGCUAGUUGGUAAGGUAACGGCUUACCAAGGCAAUGAUGCAUAGCCGAGUUGAGAGACUGAUCGGCCACAUUGGGACUGAGACACGGCCCAAACUCCUACGGGAGGCAGCAGUAGGGAAUCUUCCACAAUGGACGCAAGUCUGAUGGAGCAACGCCGCGUGAGUGAAGAAGGGUUUCGGCUCGUAAAGCUCUGUUGGUAGUGAAGAAAGAUAGAGGUAGUAACUGGCCUUUAUUUGACGGUAAUUACUUAGAAAGUCACGGCUAACUACGUGCCAGCAGCCGCGGUAAUACGUAGGUGGCAAGCGUUGUCCGGAUUUAUUGGGCGUAAAGCGAGUGCAGGCGGUUCAAUAAGUCUGAUGUGAAAGCCUUCGGCUCAACCGGAGAAUUGCAUCAGAAACUGUUGAACUUGAGUGCAGAAGAGGAGAGUGGAACUCCAUGUGUAGCGGUGGAAUGCGUAGAUAUAUGGAAGAACACCAGUG
rnacentral:rRNA from 1 species